UACGUAGGGUGCGAGCGUUGUCCGGAUUUAUUGGGCGUAAAGCGAGCGCAGGUGGUUUAUUAAGUCUGGUGUAAAAGGCAGUGGCUCAACCAUUGUAUGCAUUGGAAACUGGUAGACUUGAGUGCAGGAGAGGAGAGUGGAAUUCCAUGUGUAGCGGUGAAAUGCGUAGAUAUAUGGAGGAACACCGGUGGCGAAAGCGGCUCUCUGGCCUUAACCUGACGCUGAGGAGCGAAAGCUAGGGGAGCAAACGGG
rnacentral:rRNA from 1 species